rnacentral:rRNA from 1 species
UGGGGAAUCUUGGACAAUGGGCGCAAGCCUGAUCCAGCCAUGCCGCGUGAGCGAUGAAGGCCUUAGGGUUGUAAAGCUCUUCACCGGUGAAGAUAAUGACGGUAGCCGGAGAAGAAGCCCCGGCUAACUCCGUGCCAGCAGCCGCGGUAAUACGGAGGGGGCUAGCGUUGUUCGGAAUUACUGGGCGUAAAGCGCGCGUAGGCGGACUGAUCAGUCAGGGGUGAAAUCCCGGGGCUCAACCCCGGAACUGCCUUUGAUACUGUCAGUCUUGAGUCCGGAAGAGGCGAGUUGGAAUACCGAGUGUAGAGGUGAAAUUCGUAGAUAUUCGGUGGAACACCAGUGGCGAAGGCGACUCGCUGGUCCGGUACUGACGCUGAGGUGCGAAAGCGUGGGGAGCAAACAGGAUUCAGAUACCCUGGUAGUCCACGCCGUAAACGAUGAGUGCUAGUCGUCGGCAGGCAUGCCUGUCGGUGACGCAGCUAACGCAUUAAGCACUCCGCCU